rnacentral:lncRNA from 1 species
GCUUCUUUUCCUCCCCAAAAUCUUUUCCAGAAAGAAGAAAUUUGCUGGCUGGAAGUUUCAGUUCCUAAUAGUAUCUGAAUAUUUUAAGAGUACAUUUUGGAGGCCAGAAAUAUGAUGAAUCUGUGAAAGCUUGUCUGUGUACCCCUCAAGUUUUCCUCUGAUACUUUCUGGAUUUAUCGUGAACAAGAGGUGGAAUUAAUGCCCAGGAAGUGAUUCUUCUGUCCUGUUACACACUCCUCCAGCUCGGAAGUCCUUCAUUUUACGUUUCUAGAGCCCACCAUUAAAUGUAUGUACUGCAAAAGAGAAGUAAGAGUCACGUGGCAAUUACACAGGAGACGGUGGUAAAGUAAGCAGCAAUAGCAUGAAUAAAAGAGAGAAUUAG